rnacentral:rRNA from 1 species
ACGCACGCUGGCGGCGUGCUUCACCCCUGCAAGUCGAACGGAAAGGCCCUGCUUUUGUGGGGUGCUCGAGUGGCGAACGGGUGAGUAACACGUGAGUAACCUGCCCUUGACUUUGGGAUAACUUCAGGAAACUGGGGCUAAUACCGGAUAGGAGCUCCUGCUGCAUGGUGGGGGUUGGAAAGUUUCGGCGGUUGGGGAUGGACUCGCGGCUUAUCAGCUUGUUGGUGGGGUAGUGGCUUACCAAGGCUUUGACGGGUAGCCGGCCUGAGAGGGUGACCGGCCACAUUGGGACUGAGAUACGGCCCAGACUCCUACGGGAGGCAGCAGUGGGGAAUAUUGCACAAUGGGCGGAAGCCUGAUGCAGCAACGCCGCGUGCGGGAUGACGGCCUUCGGGUUGUAAACCGCUUUCGCCUGUGACGAAGCGUGAGUGACGGUAAUGGGUAAAGAAGCACCGGCUAACUACGUGC